rnacentral:rRNA from 1 species
UACGGGAGGCAGCAGUGGGGAAUAUUGCACAAUGGGCGCAAGCCUGAUGCAGCCAUGCCGCGUGUAUGAAGAAGGCCUUCGGGUUGUAAAGUACUUUCAGCAGUGAGGAAGGUGGGUAUGUUAAUAGCAUAUUCAUUUGACGUUAGCUGCAGAAGAAGCACCGGCUAACUCCGUGCCAGCAGCCGCGGUAAUACGGAGGGUGCGAGCGUUAAUCGGAAUUACUGGGCGUAAAGCGCAUGCAGGUGGUUUGUUAAGUCAGAUGUGAAAGCCCGGGGCUCAACCUCGGAAUUGCAUUUGAAAACUGGCAAACUAGAGUACUGUAGAGGGGGUAGAAUUUCAGGUGUAGCGGUGAAAUGCGUAGAGAUCUGAAGGAAUACCGGUGGCGAAGGCGGCCCCCUGGACAGAUACUGACACUCAGAUGCGAAAGCGUGGGGAGCAAACAGGAUUAGAUACCCUGGUAG